rnacentral:tRNA from 1 species
GCAUUGGUGAUCCAAUGGUGGAAUGCUUGCUUGUCACGUGGAUUACCCGGAUUCGAUUCCUGGCCAGUGCA